rnacentral:rRNA from 1 species
AUGCUCCUACGGGACGCAGCAGUGGGGAAUAUUGCACAAUGGGGGAAACCCUGAUGCAGCGACGCCGCGUGAGUGAGGAAGUAUUUCGGUAUGUAAAGCUCUAUCAGCAGGGAAGAAAAUGACGGUACCUGACUAAGAAGCCCCGGCUAAAUACGUGCCAGCAGCCGCGGUAAUACGUAUGGAGCAAGCGUUAUCCGGAUUUACUGGGUGUAAAGGGAGCGCAGGCGGUACGGCAAGUCCGAUGUGAAAGCCCGGGGCUCAACCCCGGGACUGCAUUGGAAACUGCCGCACUAGAGUGCCGGAGG